GACGAACCGUGCGAACGUUGUUCGGAAUCACUGGGCUUAAAGGGCGCGUAGGCGGGCCAUCAAGUCCGGGAUGAAAUCCUCCGGCUUAACCGGAGAAUUGCCUUGGAUACUGGUGGUCUUGAGGGAAGUAGGGGUCUGCGGAACUUCCGGUGGAGCGGUGAAAUGUGUUGAUAUCGGAAGGAACGCCGGUGGCGAAAGCGGCGGACUGGGCUUCUUCUGACGCUGAGGCGAGAAAGCUAGGGGAGCAAACGGG
rnacentral:rRNA from 1 species